rnacentral:rRNA from 1 species
GCAGUCGCCGCGGGAAUACGGAGGAUCCAAGCGUUAUCCGGAAUCAUUGGGUUUAAAGGGUCCGUAGGCGGUCUUGUAAGUCAGUGGUGAAAGCCCAUCGCUCAACGGUGGAACGGCCAUUGAUACUGCAGGACUUGAAUUAUUGGGAAGUAACUAGAAUAUGUAGUGUAGCGGUGAAAUGCUUAGAGAUUACAUGGAAUACCAAUUGCGAAGGCAGGUUUCUACCAAUUGAUUGACGCUGAUGGACGAAAGCGUGGGUAGCGAACAGGAUUAGAGACCCCCGUAGUCCCUGUCUCUUAUAC